GCUUUCGUAGUUCAAUGGACAGAACCGCGGUUUCCUAAACCGCUAAUCCCGGUUCGAGUCCGGGCGAAGGCGCCA
rnacentral:tRNA from 1 species